GCAUCGGAACGUGUCCCGUAGUGGGGAUAACCCGGCGAAAGCCGGACUAAUACCGCAUAUGCUCUACGGAGGAAAGCGGGGGAGUUCGCAAGAACCUCGCGCUAUGGGAGCGGCCGAUGUCCGAUUAGCUUGUUGGUGAGGUAAUGGCUUACCAAGGCGACGAUCGGUAGCUGGUCUGAGAGGAUGAUCAGCCACACUGGGACUGAGACACGGCCCAGACUCCUACGGGAGGCAGCAGUGGGGAAUUUUGGACAAUGGGGGCAACCCUGAUCCAGCCAUGCCGCGUGCGGGAAGAAGGCC
rnacentral:rRNA from 1 species